rnacentral:rRNA from 1 species
UACGUAGGGGGCCAGCGUUGCUCGGAAUUACUGGGCGUAAAGGGUUCGUAGGCGGUGCGGCAAGUUGGGAGUGAAAUCUCUGGGCUUAGCUCAGGGGCUGCUUUCAAAACUGCCGCGCUCGAGUGCGAGAGAGGUCAGUGGAAUUGCAGGUGUAGCGGUGAAAUGCGUAGAUAUCUGCAGGAACACCCGUGGCGAAGGCGGCUGACUGGAUCGCAACUGACGCUGAGGAACGAAAGCUAGGGGAGCAAACAGG